CCAAUUAAACCCAAUUCACUUUUUAAAUAGUUAAAUAACAUAAAAGCAGUCUGAAACAUGAUAUAGCAAUACUAAGUAGCGAAUAAUGCCAAUAAAGUGCGGAAGUACAACCCAACACAGCCCUAACCGGGGUGUCACAAGUCACGAGUAUCUACUAGGGUAUAAAUACAACUGAAAGUCUGAGUGCACAAAUACAGACUAAUGAAUGAAGAGAGAGAGAGAGAAGCAGUGCUACGAACACCGGCAGCUACCUUGAUAAACUCCGAUGACUCUAUCUCCGAUCAGCCAAAACCCGCUACCGGGUGUGUAAAUACCUGAAUCUGCACACAAGGUGUAGGGAGUAAAGUGAGUACUCCAAUUCAGUGAGUAAUAAUUAUAAGUGAAGUCUGAAUGGUAAGAAAUCACGUAAAGCAUAUCAAGAUGUUGUAUAGAAGCAGUUCAAAACCAGUAAGAAAGCAGUGAACUGUAAAAAUCUCUUAAACAUCUUAGCUUAGUUUAAACUUCUUUGAAAAUGAAUUUUUCAACAGUUACGCAAAUGAAUGCAAAACAGGUAGUGCAGAUAAGCACAGAAAUCCUCCCCUCUGGCACAAAUACCAUAGUUUAGUAGGUAAAUGACAGGUAAAUAUGAAAGAUAAACACAUAAAGGUUCGCCCCUCAGGCACAAUAUCAACAACUUCGCCCCUCGGGCAAUGUCUCAGAACAAUACCAGCCCCUCGGGCAAUCACAUGAACGGUACCAGCGGGUAAUCACAUAGAACAAUACCAGCUCCUCGGGCUAUCACAUAGAACAAUAUCAGCCCCUCGGGCUAUAUCUCACAUCACAAUGGGUACCCGUGCUCACUAGGGGUGUACAAACUCCGGGAGGGGCCCCUUACGGCCCAAGCGCAAUAUCAAGCCACCUCGUGGCAUCACAAACCGGCUCUCGGCCUCAUAUCAAUAUCAACAAGCCACCUCGUGGUGUACAUAUCUCAGGCCCUCGGCCUCAUAAUCAAAUCAGUAUCUCACUACUGCGUCGUGCAGCUCGACCCAAAAGUAUCCUCACAAUACAGGCCCUUGGCCUUACUCAGUCAAAAAUCACCUAAGCCAUUCGGGUAACAGUAAAACAUGAUGCUCAACCCAAAAUAUUAUUUGAAAUAUCAUUUCAAGUGUUAAAGAAAAAUAAACUUGGCUGAGUAUUGAAAAUAGUGGAAAAUAACAUGACUGAGUUCAAGUAUAAAGUCAAAACAGUGAGGAAAUAUCAACAAAAAAGCCCCGUAGGGUUCAAAUAGCUGGCACUAGUCCCAAAUAUGACAUUCAGCCCAAAUAAUGAUGGUAGCAAAUAGUUUUCAAUCAAAUACACGGUAAAAUCAUAAAUCGGGACGGACCAAGUGACAAUCCCCAAUAGUGCAUGACCCCACACUCGUCAUCAAGCAUGUGCCUCACCUCAAUAUAGCACCACGAUGUGCAAUCCGGGGUUUCAAACCCUCAGACCAUCAUUUACAAUCAUUACUCAGUUCGAACCAGCUAAAUCUCUAGCUCGCGACUCCUUUGCACCUCGAAUCGGCCUCCACGCGCGUCGAUCUAUACAAAAUCAGAACGUGGACGUCAAAAUAUGCUAAGGGAACAAAGCCCAAGUGAAAACAAUCAAAUAUGACACAAUUCCCGAAAUUACCAAAAUCUGAGCCCCGAGCCCACGUCUUAGAAUCAGGUAGAAUUUAUAUUUUCAAAAUUCUCAUACCCUCACGAGUCUAACCAUACCAAAAUUAUCCAAUUUCGGUACCAUUUGGUCCUUCAAAUCAUCAUUUUAUAUUUUUGAAAGAUUCCACAAAUUUUCUUCGCAAAUUACAUCCCAAAUCACGAAUUAAAUGAUAGAUUCAUGAACUCUAGCCAAAUCUGAGUUACAAUCACUUACCCCAAUGAAUUUCUUGAAAAACCUUCGAAAAAUCGCCAAAAUCCGAGCUCUCUAGGUCAAAAUAUUAAAUAAAACCCAAAACCUCGUAUUUAUAGAGUACCCCACAUAUUUCCACCUCUGCGGACCGCACAAAAACGACCGCGGUCCACACAAAAAUGAUUGUGGCCGCAUAUAUUUUCAUCUGCAGUGACAGGCUUUAGUAUUUUGGCCAUAACUUUCGCUACAGAUGCCCAUAUUGCAAUAUCAUUAUUUUUCUGGAAACUAGACACGAAGGGCUACAACGUUUGUUUUAAAUCAUCUCAAAAUUCCUUGUAGAUCAAAAGAUAUGAGCUUCCGAAGUAGGACCAGUGAAAUGUUCCCCCAUCGCGGCCGCACUGCAUUUUGUGCGGUCCGCACAACACCUACCGCGGACGAACUUCUUUUUGUGCAGACCGCGCUGGUAGGUUCUGAGGCCUGCAACCCUUUUGGACCUGCUACAACUAUGAUUUUCGGCCUAAAAUAUCCCGGAACCUACCCGGAAACCCCGGAACUUCAAACCAAUUGUACCAACACAUCCCAUGACAUCGUUCAAACUUUUUCAAAACUUCGAAACGCUCAUAACAACAUCAAAUUACCUAUUUAACAUAGGAUUUAAGCCUAAAAACACCACGAACUCUUAAAUUAUGCUUUCGAUCAAAAAGUCUAUCAAAUCUCGUCCGAACGACUUGAAAUUUUGCACACACAUCCCAAAUGACACAACAAAGCUAUUUCAACUCUCGGAAUUUCAUUCCGACCCCUAUAUCAAAAUCUCGCCUAUCAACGGGAAAACGCCAAAAAUUCAAUUUCUCCAAUUCAAGCCUAAACCUUUCACGAACCUCCAAAAUGCAUUCUAAUCACGCUCGUAAGUCCCAAAUCACCUAACAGAGCUAACCCAACCAUAAAAAGUUCGAUCCGAGAUCAUAUACAAAUAAGUCAAAUCUUAGUCAAACCUUUCGAAUUUCAAGCUUCAACUAAGAACUGUUUUCUUCCGAAUUUAUUCUGAUUACCCUGAAAACCAAAACCAACGAUUUAUAUAAGUCAUAAUACAUCACACGGGGCAAGUCAUGCCCGAAAACUGGCGAUCAAUGUGCAAAAGCUCAAAACGACCGGUUAGGUCGUUACAACAAAAAUCGAAAAUCUUGAAGAAAAUUAUGAAGACCACAAUUUUAGAAGGGGAAAGAACAUAGUAAUGGUUAACAUACAACACAAACUAAUUAGAGAAUAUUGGAACUAGAACACAAACUUGGAGUUGUAUGGCCAAACAUUAUAUAGACUAACCAGCUCUAGGCUAUCAAAAACCAAAGUUUUUUUCAGUGAAGCUCAAGUGGACUCCAUAUAAUCCCAGCUUCAUGUUGUAUUUUUUAUUCUAUGUUUCUCUCAAGGAUCUAGUUACUUAAAAUUCCUAUCUCUUAAAUUGCACUCUGCUUUUACAAUAAAAUGCGAGUAUAGCUACAGUUUUCAUUAACACGUUUAUUAUAUUUGUAGGAAAAAAAUUGGGGAGGAAGAUGAGUCAUGAUGAGUUCUUCAUGGGACUCACAUCCGGAAGAAAAAGGCACCGGCAGAUCCAACUAGAUGGGUCGAGGAUCGAGCAGAGACUACACAUGUACGUUUCAUAACUACUAUAAAUAUUUCUAAUAUUAUAUAGUUAGUAUUUUUUUAUCUUCUAAAUAAAAAGUCGCUACAAGAUCAAUUUGGAGGGGUAUACUCAGAGAUUGCUACUGAAUGAGCAAGGCGAGCGACCGCCCAUUUCAGACGAAGAAGAGAAGGGGAUAUGGUUGAGUAUUGUCAGUGGUCCUAAAAAGGGGAUAACAUACGGCCUUUUAGAUAAAUCGUUUCGGUGCUACAUGGCUGGAUUGCAAGGUAUAGGGACUUCCGCCCAAGGAGAGGCGAUUGAUAGUUCAGCUAUAUCGUCUAUGGAAGAGAAGAUCGCAAAACUGACAGUAGAGCUUGAAGAGACCAAGGCUAGAGAAAAGAAGAAUUUUGAUACCCUUCAAGGUGAGCUAGAAAGGAGGGACAAACAAUUUGAUCUCCUUCAAGGUCAGCUGGCCAAUCUUCUUGCUUGUGGUGCUUUCCCUAUUCCCCGGUCUCCUCAUCCUUCCCCACCUGUCGGUGAUGAAGGUCCUAGGACCGAAAAUGAAGAUGAUGCUACAUAAAAAAACACAUUGCAUGUUGUGUAUUGUUAAACAAAGUUGUGAACUUAUCAAUAUUUUGUUGUUGGUUAUUUGAAUGAUGAUUAUAUUGUUAUUAAACACUUUAGUAGUUGUUGUUGUGGUUAUUAGUUGUUGUGGUUGUGGUUAUUAGUUAUUGGUUAAUUGUUGUUGUUGGUGGUUAUUAGUUGUUAUUUUGUUGAGUUUUCAUGGUUGAAUGGCAGUAAUGUAAGCUGCCAUUAUAGGAUGUAUAUUGGUUUAAAUUGGCAGGUAGUGUAGCUUAAAAGCAUCCAUUUUCUGCCCAGUUUUUACCCAGAUUUGCGACCGAAUUAGGUCGGAAAUAAAAAAAAUUCCCAAAAAUUCAUAAUUUCCUACCUAAUUCGGUCGGAAAUUUAAAAUAAAUUCCCUAGAUUAUUGAAAUUUCCAAUCGAAUUCGUUCGGAAAUUAUAAAUUUAUAUUUAUUUUUUAAAUAAAUUAACAAUUUACAAAUAAUUAUUUAAUUAAAUAAUAUUAUUAUUUUUUAAAGGUUUCGACCAAAUUCGGUCCGAAAACUAAAAUUAAAAAUAAAUAAAUAAUAAUAUUUUCCGACCGAUUUCGGUAAGAAAUUUGAAUUUUAAAAAAAAUAUUAAUAAUUUCCGACCGAUUUCGGUCGGAAAAUAAAGUUUGACUGCCAGUCAGUGCAUUGGAUUUUAUCGAUCGAUUGCAAUCGAAAAUUUUCGACCAAUUGCGGUUCGGUCUACGUUUGCGACCAUUGUUUUUCUACCCAAAUAAAAACGGUCGGAAAUCACCUGACUUUUAGUUGUGACAAUAUCAAACAAACUCUCACAAGAAAAAAAAUAACCUGCAUUAUUGAAAUUUUUUGUAGGUGUAGAACGAAUGUCAUUAGCACAACAUAAAACAAUUCUCUCAUCAAUUCAAUAAUAUAAUUCUGCCCAGUCUUUGAUUACUAAAGUUGGCGUGGCUUUUAGUAACUAAAUAACCAAGAUUAAGAUGUAUCAUGAAAGAAUUUUUUUAGUGUUAUCUGAUAGGUGCCCUAUUUCAAUCUUUAUGUCAAAACUAUUUUCAUGUACUACAAAUUAUCUCUCCCUUAUAACAAAAGGAAUCAUUAAUUACAUAGACAAAAGAUAAUAAACUUUAAAUAGAAGCUAAUUCAUCUGACAAGUUAUACGAUUUCCUAGCAUUUUUUGAGUCAAAUAAAGAAAAUGAACUAAUACAUUAUAUUUUCAAGCUUCAAUUUGACAGGUCUUAGGUGCUUCUUGAAUUCAAGUAAAAGCUAGUGGAAAUUAUUUCAAGCUUUAUAUUCAUAUUAUUCUUUAUAUUAAACAUGUGACCUUUUACCUAUAACAAUUUCAUCGAAGCUGUCUGCAUCCAUGUAAUUCAUUAAAUUUUACGAAGGUAAACUGAAAUCUCUAGAGCUCUUGCUCAAUUCUUGAAUCAAUAAAAAAAAUUUAAGAGAAAAUGAUUUGUUUAUGUGGAUAUAUCUUUGACAGAUAUUAUAAAAUGAUUAUUCCUUUUGUGCAUUAAAUAUACGUAUAUAAGUAUAUUUAUUUCUAUUAUAAGAGACUCAAAUUUAAUACUUUGCAAUUAUAUUCUUACUUAAAGAAUGUAAAAAAAAUAUAUACACAGAGAUAUGAAGCAGUAAUUGCACCAACCAAAGGUCACUCUUUUAUUGAAUUCAGAUAAAAUCGCAAACCUGGAAAGAGAAUAUCCCCAAAGCCAAUCAUGACAUAGCCAUAAUAAGGAUUAGAAGAUUAGAUAUAUAGUCGAGAACUCUUAGAAGCUACAAAAAUUUUAAAAAAAGAACUGAGUCAUAUUUCACCCCAUACAGUUUAAAGGAAAAGAUAUAUAGUAAAACUAUUUAAGAAAUAAAAGUUUAUCGCAAAGAACAAUCAGAAGGGAACAUAAACAAAAUCCUAGAAUAUUGGAUACAGUGAUACAAGGAAUACCAACCAAAAAAAUCUCAAAAAUAAGGAAGAGAUAAUCAAAUCACAAAAUCAAAGAGAGGCGAUUUACCUCUAGCAGUAGUCGAAAUAAGAGAAAACAGAAACUGAAGGGAAAAAUUAAAAUACUGAAGAGCAAAGGAAGAAUUUUACCUUGGGCGAGGGGAGGAAGAAAAGGAGAAGAAGAAGA
rnacentral:lncRNA from 1 species